GACGAACGCUGGCGGCGUGCUUAACACAUGCAAGUCGAACGGAAAGGCCCUGCUUUUGUGGGGUGCUCGAGUGGCGAACGGGUGAGUAACACGUGAGUAACCUGCCCUUGACUUUGGGAUAACUUCAGGAAACUGGGGCUAAUACCGGAUAGGAGCUCCUGCUGCAUGGUGGGGGUUGGAAAGUUUCGGCGGUUGGGGAUGGACUCGCGGCUUAUCAGCUUGUUGGUGGGGUAGUGGCUUACCAAGGCUUUGACGGGUAGCCGGCCUGAGAGGGUGACCGGCCACAUUGGGAAUGAGAUACGGCCCAGACUCCUACGGGAGGCAGCAGUGGGGAAUAUUGCACAAUGGGCGGAAGCCUGAGGCAGCAACGCCGCGUGCGGGAUGACGGCCUUCGGGUUGUAAACCGCUUUCGCCUGUGACGAAGCGUGAGUGACGGUAAUGGGUAAAGAAGCACCGGCUAACUACGUG
rnacentral:rRNA from 1 species